rnacentral:rRNA from 1 species
UACGUAGGGCGCAAGCGUUUGUCCGGAUUUAUUGGGCGUAAAGAGCGUGUAGGCGGCUUGACAGGUCUGCUGUGAAAACUCGAGGCUCAACCUCGAGAUGUCGGCGGAAACCGUCUGGCUAGAGUCCGGAAGAGGAGAGUGGAAUUCCUGGUGUAGCGGUGAAAUGCGCAGAUAUCAGGAAGAACACCUAUGGCGAAGGCAGCUCUCUGGGACGGUACUGACGCUGAGACGCGAAAAGCGUGGGGAGCGAACAGG